rnacentral:lncRNA from 1 species
AAAACGAAGAGCGUAAAGGUUUGGCCCAAACAAAAAUCUACAAAACCUAAUAAACCCCCCUUCCUCCCCCCUUUGCCCAUUUUCUUCUUCUUCAACAAUGUCUUUUCUCUUCACAUGAACAGAGCAAACCAACUGAUCAAUCACCGCUUAGAUAGCCAGUCGCCUUCUUUCUUUCCAGAUAUGUUUAUGUAUGUAUCUUAGGAUUUCUGAAUCCCCAUACACCUUUUUUAUUUGAAUUUUUGAUUUAUAUUCUAACAAAUUAAUAGAUAUUGUGUUGUAUUGUGAUAGAUAUUGAGUGGAACCUUGAAGAUUACAAUAUAAUGUUGGAAGGACCCACAGUUCUAGAAAAGAUAUUACAAAAUUGAGAUGAAAAUCCUUUCAAAAGUUUUUUAAAAAGUAUACAGGUUUGUUUUCUUAUCGCUUUACGUUUUCCCCUCUUGUUAUAUGCUAAAGUUUCUCUUUUUGAACGUUCUUUUAGCAUUAUACAAAGUAAACUUGCAUCUUUGUAUUGAUGUCUUUUGUACUAAUUAUUGUUUAUUUUGAAUUUAUAGGGUACAUUUUAAUCUAUUGAAUGGAAGAAGAGCAAGGUUUCAGCUUUGAGUGAAAUUACUUUAUCCUUGACCGCAGAAGAUCAUCUGGUGGCUACAUUUGCAAUUCUCAUAUCAAAUACUUAGCACUUAGUUUUGUUUUGAUGUGGAACCUUUCUGAAUUUUAUAGAUUAUAGUUAAAUUACCGCCUGUACAUAGUUUGUAUUUUACUCCUAUUAGUUUGACAAGAAUGCAAGGUUGACUUCUUUCUUAUUAUCUUGCUGCGUAUUAGCUAGUCUUUGGAAGUGUGGAUAUUAUCUGCUUUAGAUAGACAAUUGUAUAUUUUAGAAUUAAUUUUUAAAACUAUUUUGAAAGUCAGUUUCUGUAAAAUAAGUG